UCUUACAACUGAGCUCCUGAUCCCUCCUGAAAGCAGCCAACUUGGUUAAACAGUUCUUGCUUUUGCAUGGGAGUAGAUGUAACAAAUAUCCCAGAAACAUCAGGUUAUGCACAUCAGUCUUUGCAAAGGUAGUGGAGAAGAUGGACAUGUUUGAAGACCACUCAGAGAAACCUCAGCAUUAGCAGUGGGAGAAGUGGCACAUGAAGUCAAAGUGAAACCAAUCCGAUUUACGCUUUUGAGUAAAAUAUUGUAUUGAAGCAUUGCAUUUUGGUGUAAUAAUGCUACAGCUCAGGAGAAUGUCUUACCUUUAGGCUCAAGAGGUCUGGUGUCCAAUGGUUGCUCUGACAGUCUGUGAAAUCAAAGAAUGCUCUUUCACUAGAAGCAGUCAAAAGGACUGAAAUCCACAUGGCUACAGGAAGAAUUUUAGCCGAAGACUGAAUGUUUCAAAUUUGUGUGAUAGACUUGUCUGUAUUGAUCCUGCUUUCAUAUAAAAAAAA